GCAAGCAAAGCCGGGGGUUUAGGCUUUUAGGGUUUUGUGGUUCAUACUUAAUAAUGGGAGAUAAAAACCCUGACUCCUAGACGAUCAAGCCAGGGCAUCGAAUUCGGUCGUUUGUCUCUGGAAAAAAAUGGGGUUGAAUUUAUUCGAGGGAUCUGGUUCAGAUGAUGAAAACAUUUCGAAGAUUGAAAUCGACAAACAAUUCGCUCGUCGUUUCGAGCACAACAAAAGACGAGAGGAUUUGCAGAGACUAGAGGAGUUGAAGAAAAGGGGACUGGUCGAUAACUCCGAAGACGGCUCUUCGGAAUCUGAAGACGACGAAGACGAGGAGGUCUUGAUCAAUUCAGGUAAAGGAGAAUUACAGUUCUUAGAUGCCCUUGUUAAGGUCAAGAAGAAGGAACCGAUAAUUAACCAGAAGGAUACUAAGCUCUUUGAAUCUGAAGAUGAAGAAGAUGACGAGGAAGAAGAAGAAGAAGAGAAGCCCAAGUCAUCGAAGGAGAAGCCUAUGUAUUUGAAAGAUGUUGUUGCGAAACAGUUGAUCGAAGAGGGCCCAGAAUUCGAUGAUAAUAACUCAAAAUCCCGUAUGAAGAGCUACUCGGAGGAGCAAGAGGAGCUUCGACAAGCUUUCUUAAAUGCGGCCGAAGAGGAUUUUGAUGGUGACGAGGGGGAUUUUCUGAUAGAGAAGAAAAAAUCCCAAGUAGAGGAUGGGGAGGAUGAGGAUAUCAAUGAAAUUCAGAAAAGGUUGGAUGAGUAUUUUGGUGAGGAUGAGAAGUUGGACGAGAAUGAGAUGUUUUUGAAGAACUACUUUCUGAACAAAAUGUGGAUCGACAAGGAUGCUAAUAAAGGUGCAAAAUCUUCUGAAGAAGAUCUUUAUGGGAUUUCGGAGGAUGAGGACGAGGUAGAGAAGCAAGAGAAGUAUGAGGCGGAGUACAAUUUCCGGUUCGAGGAGGGUGCUGGAGACCGGGUUCUGGGUCAUGCCCGCUUCACGGAGGGGUCUGUGCGGAAGAAGACGAAUGCAAGGAAGCAGCAAAGAAAGAGCAAGGAAGAGAGGUUGGCUCAAGCAGAACUCGAGAGGAAAGAAGAACUGAAACGCUUGAAGAAUGUAAAGAAGAAAGAAAUAAUGGAUAAGCUCCAAAAGAUAAGGGCUAUCGCGGGUAUAGCUGAAGGCGGGGAUUGCGCUUUGAAUGAAGAUGAUCUAGAAGAGGAUUUUGAUCCUGAAGAAUACGACAGGAAGAUGAAGGAGACAUUCGACGUGGAUUACUAUGAUGCGGUGGAUGCUGACCCUGGUUUCCGUGGUGAGGGGGAUGAGGACAGUGUUGAUAUUGAGAAACCGGAUUUUGACAAGGAAGAUGAAUUGCUUGGGCUUCUGAAAGGUUGGGAUGUGUGUGGAUCUGGUGAUGGGUUCUUAGCAGCUAGAGAAAAAAUUUUAAAACGGAAAGCAGAUGAGAAAGAUGUUGAACUCUCGGAUGCACAAGACCAAGAAGAAGACGAAGAAGAAGAAGAACUGCCCCAAGAAGGUAAACGCAAGAGGAAACGUAAAAUCUCUCUCUAUGAAAAGGUUGCUCUUGAUAAAGCAAUGGAGGAGUACUACAAAUUGGAUUAUGAAGAUACAAUAGGAGACUUAAAGACAAGGUUCAAGUACACUUCAGUUCUUCCCCAGAGAUAUGGUUUAGGUGCUUCAGAGAUUUUAAUGAUGGAUGACAAGGAACUAAAUCAAUAUGUUUCUCUAAAAAAGAUUGCUCCUUACCGGGAAAAGGAAUGGAAGGUGCCAAAAAUGAAGAGAUACAACUUGAAAAUGAAGAAUAAGUCAGAGUUGCAAGGCAAACAUAUGAGAAACCUGAAGGCUGGAAAGCACAGAAAAAAGGGUGAUGAUCAUGCUGCAACUUUGGCAAAACAUGUAAUGGAGCAAGAUAAAGCUGAGGCUGGGCAACUGAAUGGUGAAGUGGGCACCACAUCUAGGAGAAGCAGGAGAAGGCGCCGCCAGGCUGAACUAAAACUAUCACAAUCGAGGCUUAUGGCAUAUGGAAAAAUUCCCUCUAAGCCCAAAAGUAAGAAAAAGCAAUAAUAUCUACAGCUUAUGUACAUCAAGGAAAUGAGGUUUUGCUCUUAUAUGGAAUUCCACCAAGCAAUUGCUGGGUCCGAAGCUUCACUGAUUUGGGACUUCUACUUCACCUCUAUAGCUGCCUCAUCUUGUUCUGUUUUUGGAGAGAACUUUUCUAGUCUGAAGACUUCCAGUCUGGUCCGAUUGAAUUAUUUUUCCUGUGCCCAACAUGAUCAGGAAUGGGUAGUCAUCCUAUGAUCGAAAAAUUGAAUGGAGCUCCAUGUAAGCUCAUAUUUGGAGAUGUGAAGGUGAAGAUUUCGAGUUAUGUAGGUCCAAGGAAAAAGGUAAGGUGUUGGUGGUCGUAAUUGACCAUAUCAGUGAUCGUUCUUUCAUCCUUGCCAAGAUUGGAGAGCAUAUGGCUUGGAAUCUUUAGUGGAUGUCAGGAUUUGUUAGAUAUAAGAUACCAGAUUUUGUAAUUGAUCGAAAAAAAAGAACAGAUCAUAUUUAUCUUAGGGAACCUGGUAAUUCCAUCAACUCAAAUGUCAACUUCUAAGAAAACCCAAUUUUGUGUAGGGUGGGUUUUCUUUUCUCUUGUCUUUCUCUUUUUCCUUUUAUUCUUGGACAGGAACUCGGUUAGCUGCAUUAGGUGGUCGGUUUUUGUGGCAAGA